UUUCUUAAGCUUUGUUUUCGUGAGCGUCAUCUUUGGUGCGACAUGUUAUGUAUAUCUUUAGGAAACCAGAAUGUUUAGGGUUUUAAUACUCGGUUGGGUUGUUGGCAGGCCGAGAAGAAUUAAACCGAGCUUAUAGACCAAGGAUCUAGCUCAAGACUGUAGAGAUCGACUUCUCGGUGCCUGAUAGACUGCCUUAGUCUGCGGAAGCUUCAUUAUCGAUUGCCAGUACGUGUUUUGAGUUGGGCAUAAAGUCUGUUGUGUUGUGAUGUAUUCACACCCUUGUAUGUUAUAGAUACUCCACAGUUUGUAUAAGCUUUAGGAGCUGUAGUUGUGUAAAUUUUGUUGGUUAUAUUUUGAUUAAGGUGUCUUUAGGUUUACUCGUGAAAUCGGUAAAUUUUGAGGUACACUUCAUGUAUGUGUUUGACUAGCUGUGUUUGACUAGCCUAGGAUCCGCUGUGUUUUGUGGCAUGUACAAUAGUUUAUAUACUAGAUUGGCAAGUUCAUCACAUAAAA